rnacentral:lncRNA from 1 species
AGCAACAUUUGGAUCUCCAUCUUUUCUUGGAGUGGUUGUGUGUCCCUGUGCAAAUUACUAAGCCUUUUGGCCAUAACCAGUCUCAGCAAGACAUCCUACAAGAGAAUACGAUUCUUAAAGCUACUGAAGUGCAGUUCCCGCCAAAGCCGGUAGUAACACCUGAAGCAAAGGCGUUGAUUCGACGAUGCUUGGCCUACCGAAAGGAGGACCGCAUUGAUGUCCAGCAGCUGGCCUGUGAUCCCUACUUGUUGCCUCACAUCCAAAAGUCAGUCUCUACGAGUAGCCCUGCUGGAGCUGCUAUUGCAUCAACCUCUGGGGCGUCCAAUAACAGUUCUUCUAAUUGAGACUGACUCCAAGGCCACAAACUGUUCAACACACACAAAGUGGACAAAUGGCGUUCAGCAGCGGGUUUGGAACAUAGCGAAUCCGAAUGGAUCUGAUGAAACCUGUACCAGGUGCUUCUAUUUUCUUGCUUUUUUCCCAUCCAUAGAGCAUGACAGCAUCGAUUCUCAUUGAGGAGAAACCUUGGGCAGCUCCGGCCAGGCCUUGUAGGAAAAGGCCCCGCCCGAGGUUCCAGCGUCAACGGCCACUGUGUGUGGCUGCUCUGAGUGAGGAAAAAAUUAAAAGGAAAAACUGGUUCCAUGUACUGUGAACUUGAAAACAUGCAGACUCAGGGGGGUCCCUGAUUCAGAUGAAGAAUGUGGACUUGAAAAUACAGACUGGGCUAGUCCAGUGUCUGUAUUUAAACUUGUUCUUUUCUUUUAAUAAAGUUUAGGUAACAUCUCCUGAAAAGCUUGUAGCACAAAGGCUCAGCUGGGGAUGGUGUUUGACUUCGGAGGAAAAAAGUUGCUAUUGCCCGUUAAAGGCACUAGAGUUAGUGUUUUUUCCCUAAAUAAUUUCAAUUUUUAAAAACAUGCAGCUUCCCUCUCCUCUUUUUUAUUUUUGAAAGAAUACAUUUGGUCAUAAAGUGAAACCCGUAUUAGCAAGUACGUGGCAAUGUUCAUUCCAAUCAGAUGCAGCUUUCUCCUUCGUCUGGUCUCCUGUUUGCAAUUGCUUCCCUCAUCUCAGUAGGGAAAAAAUUGAGUGGGAAUACUGAGAUGUGUGGGUUUUUGCCAUUGGACAAAGAAUGAGGUUAGAAGACUGCAGCUUGGAGUCCCUCUAGGUUUUCAACUAUUUCUUCACAAUUUGAACACUUGACGGUUGUCCCUUUUAAUUUAUUUGAAGUGCUAUUUUUUUAAAUAAAGGUUCAUCUGUCCAUGCAAAAAAAAAAAAAAAAAAAAAAAACAAAUUCAAAGUAUCAAUAUAGUAUACAGUCCACAAGUAGCCCUUGAUAAAAUGCUAGUAGGACCAUUUCUUUUCAUUAAUCUCUGUGAUGGAAUAAAAUUUGCAUGGAUGGUGCUUUUUUUAUAUUUUUAUUUUUUAUUUUAUUUUAUUUUAUUAUUAUUAUACUUUAAGUUUUAGG